AUGCUCCACGCUCCGCUCAAAUUUUCAAAGUACUUCCCAAACUCCAUCUUGCUACUCUCGCGGGCACACGAGCCGGUGUUGCGGGGGGGGGGGGGGGGGGGGGUGGAAGGGUCUCACGUGACGCGUUUUAUCCAAUCAGGUUGCUUGGAUGCUCCCAUUGAAACCCAUUCUAUUCUACGUGAACCACCUACAUGUAAGCCGCUAGAAGCAGUUAAAAUCGGAGCGGACUGGAGCGGAGUGAAAUCCCCGCUCCAACCUAUUUCUUCCGCUCCGCUCCACCACCCGCUCCACUCCGCUCACAUGCUCUGGUCAGGUCAAGGGUCACCAAUGGAGGAGAUUAUUGAUACGCUCCGAAGUUUGGCCGAUGAUGUGGAGAACAAUCGUGUUGAAGACACAGAUGCAGUUGAUAGAGGGCAUGUUCUGGGAGAUAGGAUAGCCGACUUAUCCUCACUGGUACGUUUUGACGCCAGUGUGGUAAUGUUACGCCUCGUCCAGCUACUCGGUCCAACACCCCCCUCUAGCGGCGGCAGGGCGUAACGGAUUCCUCUUCCCGCAACCCAGCUGUCGGCAAUCCGCAAUCCACGUUCCCUAUUUCUGUCUGGGAUCCCCAGUCUGCCGGCGCCAGUUCGUCAUACACUUCCAGCAAAUUCGUAUCGCCUACCCGCUCUAUUGCCAAGUCCUGUUCGUAUACCGAGUUCCUCUAGUAAUCCCAUUUCCCCUUCUCUAGUUCUCCUGCUACCGGACCUCCGCCUGCCUGACUACUCGAUCCUCGCCUAGCCCCCACCUGCACGAUCGCCCUCCCGGCUCCAGACCCCCCCGCCUGCCUGACUACCCGAUCCUCGCCUAGCCCCCUCCAGCACGAUCGCCCUCCCGGUUCCUGACCCCCGCCUGCCUGACUUCCCGUCCACCGUCCAGCCCGUGACCACCUGAUUGCCAGCCCGUUACCAGACCCCCGCCUGCAUGACUUCCCGAACGCUCCACGAAUAAAUUCCUUUGCCUUUACCCUGUCUCCGCCUCCCUGCGUCCUGCACUUGGGUCCCAGUAACCCGUACCGUAACAGGUAAACAGAGUGGUAAACAGAGACCCACCGUGGAGAUACCCUUGGAGGCAAUAGGAGGUGACGUAAUUCCCGCCCAUACGCUGAUUGGCUGAUACCUUUGCCACUUUGCAUAUAGACUUUUUGGAAAACGUUUUGGAUUCCGUUUUGGAAAACGUUUUGGAUUCCGUUUGGCCAAAUCUUUUGCAAAGCGUUCGUUUUGCGGAUUGAAAUGUCAUUUGAAUAUCGCAACACACGGAGCGUGUCGAAGUGGAUUGCAAUCACGGGGACGCUAUAGCUUUUCAAUUUGAAUAAAGGAACUCAAAGAAUUUGACAAAAUGUUAUUCGAUUUGUAUUGUUAUAACUUUUGCAAAUUUAAUUGAGGAUUGCAUUGUCACUUUACAUAUUAAAAUACAUUUUGAAUAACGUAUUUACAAAUUACAUUAUAAAAUUGCAUAAUGAAUUGUCAAUUGCAUAAUGUAAUGACAUUUGAAUUGCAAAUUGCAUUACCAUUUGAAUUUUGCUACAUGCUUCCAUAAAUGCUUCCAUUCUUUUUCAUGCUUCCUAUACUUGCAAGUUAUAAGAUAAAACACUAUUUGAUAGAUCAUACUUUCAUUGCCAACUUCUCCAUGAUUGCAAUUAAAAUAUUC
ensembl:lncRNA